rnacentral:rRNA from 1 species
GACGAACGCUGGCGGCGUGCUUAACACAUGCAAGUCGAGCGGUAAGGCCCUUUCGGGGGUACACGAGCGGCGAACGGGUGAGUAACACGUGGGUGACCUGCCCUCAGCUCUGGGAGUAAGCCUGGGAAACCGGGUCUAAUACUGGAUAUGACUCCAUGACGCAUGUUGUGGGGUGGAAAGCCUUGUGCGGCUGAGGAUGGGCCCGCGGCCUAUCAGCUUGUUGGUGGGGUGANGGCCUACCAAGGCGACGACGGGUAGCCGGCCUCGAGAGGGCGACCGGCCGACACUGGGACUGAGACACGGCCCAGACUCCUACGGGAGGCAGCAGUGGGGAAUCUUGCGCAAUGGGCGAAAGCCUGACGCAGCGACGCCGCGUGAGGGAUGACGGCCU